rnacentral:rRNA from 1 species
GACGAACGCUGGCGGCGUGCUUAACACAUGCAAGUCGAGCGGUAAGGCCCUUUCGGGGGUACACGAGCGGCGAACGGGUGAGUAACACGUGGGUGACCUGCCCUCAGCUCUGGGAUAAGCCUGGGAAACCGGGUCUAAUACUGGAUAUGACUCCAUGACGCAUGUUGUGGGGUGGAAAGCCUUGUGCGGCUGAGGAUGGGCCCGCGGCCUAUCAGCUUGUUGGUGGGGUGANGGCCUACCAAGGCGACGACGGGUAGCCGGCCUGAGAGGGCGACCGGCCACACUGGGACUGAGACACGGCCCAGACUCCUACGGGAGGCAGCAGUCGGGAAUUUUGGGCAAUGGGCGAAAGCCUGACCCAGCAACGCCGCGUGAGGGAUGAAGGCCUUC